rnacentral:rRNA from 1 species
CCUACGGGUGACAGCAGUGAGGAAUAUUGGUCAAUGGGCGAGAGCCUGAACCAGCCAAGUCGCGUGAAGGAUGACGGCCCUACGGGUUGUAAACUUCUUUUGUCAGGGUGCAAUUGAGUCCACGUGUGCUUUUAGCGAGAGUAGCUGAAGAAACAGCAUCGGCUAACUCCGUGCCCGCAGCCGCGGUAAUACGUAGGAUGCGAGCGGUAUUCGGAUUUAAUGGGUUAAAGGGGUGCGUAGGCGGAAUAUCAAGUCAGCGGUAAACAUUCGGGGCUCAACCCCGUCGUGCCGUUGAAACUGAUGUUCGUGAGUGGGCGAGAGGGAUGCGGAAUGCGUGGUGUAGCGGUGAAAUGCAUAGAUAUAACGCAGAACUCCGAUUGCGAAGGCAGCAUACCGGAGCCCAACUGACGCUGAAGCGCGAAAGCGUGGGUAUCGAACAGGAUUAGAUACCCUUGUAGUC